AGUGAACGCUGGCGGUAGGCCUAACACAUGCAAGUCGAACGGCAGCACAGUAAGAGCUUGCUCGUACGGGUGGCGAGUGGCGGACGGGUGAGGAAUACAGCGGAAUCUACUUUUUCGUGGGGGAUAACGUAGGGAAACUUACGCUAAUACCGCAUACGACCUACGGGUGAAAGCAGGGGAUCUUCGGACCUUGCGCGAUUGAAUGAGCCGAUGUCGGAUUAGCUAGUUGGAGGGGUAAAGGCCCACCAAGGCGACGAUGCGUAGCUGGUCUGAGAGGAUGAUCGGCCACACUGGAACUGAGACACGGUCGAGACUCCUACGGGAGGCAGCAGUGGGGAAUAUUGGACAAUGGGCGCAAGCCUGAUGCAGCCAUACCGCGUGGGUGAAGAUGGCCUUCGGGUUGUAAAGCCCUUUUGUUGGGAAAGAAAAGCAGCAGGUUAAUACCCCGCUGUUCUGACGGUACCCAAAGAAUAAGCACCGGCUAACUUCGUG
rnacentral:rRNA from 1 species